rnacentral:rRNA from 1 species
GACGAAUGCUGGCUGCGUGCUUAACAUAUGCAAGUCGAACGGUGAAAGGGAGCUUGCUCCCUGGAUCAGUGGCGAACGGGUGAGUAACACGUGGGCAACCUGCCCCUCACUCUGGGAUAACUCCGGGAAACCGGGGCUAAUACCGGAUACGACCUGGUGCGACAUCGCACCGGGUGGAAAGAACUUCGGGGAGGGAUGGGCCCGCGGCCUAUCAGCUUGUUGGUGGGGGAACGGCCCACCAAGGCGACGACGGGGAGCCGGCCUGAGAGGGCGACCGGACACACUGGGACGAGGACACGGCCCAGACUCCUACGGGAGGCAGCAGUGGGGAAUAUUGCGCAAUGGGCGAAAGCCUGACGCAGCGACGCAGCGUGAGGGACGAAGGCCUUCGGGUUGUAAACCUCUUUCAGCGGGGACGAAGCGAAAGUGACGGUACCCACAGAAGAAGCACCGGCUAACUACGUGCCAGCAGCCGCCGUAACAC